rnacentral:lncRNA from 1 species
AUUAAAAAAAAAAAAAAGUUCAGGGGCGAUUUCAGAAUGCUGAUGCCUACAGUUGAAAAGUCUCCUGUGAAUUUGACUUUGACAAUAAUUAUUUCUUUAAUAUUUAUUUUUCAUCCAUGGUCCAACUGCUCUUAUCCUUGGGUCCAGUCGGCCCUUCCUCCCCGAGCACUUCCGCCGGCAGCUCCGCCACCAGCUUCUCCAGCGCCCUCCGCAGCCUCUUCGGAAGCAGCCUCUCGACGCCCUUCAGCUCCUUCGCGAUGUCGUAGCUCGUCUUCGGCCCCCACUCCCUCAUGUACUCCAACCACGCCGGCUCCGCCACCGCCUCCCCUACUUCGUCGUACUCCGCCGCCACCAACUCCCACCUCCCCGCUGUAUCCAUCUUCUUCCCCUUCGCCGUAUCAUUCCUUAUACCUAUUGAAUUAUAUAAAUAUUAUUAUAGCACAUUAAUUCUCUGACAGUUUAAAUUUUUAGCAGUACAGUUGUUUCGUAUUAUUUAACAGUAUAUAUAUACCUAUUUGCAGCUUCUCAUUGCCCUGGAGUACCAAGCCGGCCUUCGCGUACGCUGCAUGGCCAUGCAGCGACGCGUAGGCCACGGGCUUAUUCCCCCCCGACGGAUCGUACUCCGCCUGUGACGCGUCGACCCACUCGCCGGCGCUGUGCGCGGCGUAGUACACCCGCCGCAGCUCCCCGCUGAAAUUGCUCACCCGCAGCGUCACGUGCUCCCAGUCCCCCACAUGCUCCCCGAUCCUCCCCAGCGAGACGUUCACAAAUUCCACUUUCGCCCUCGCGGCGCCGUUGAACGGGUAGAAUAUCCACAGGGCUAAAUCGGUAAAUGUGCCCCCGAGCAUCGGCUUGACGUGGAGGUACACUCUUGCGGUGUUCAAAUCGCCUGCUUUUACUUCUGCUUUCAGCUUGUCAUCUGCCGGAAGGUCUAUCCAGUAUUCCCCGUCGUUCGACCCUCCCUGCGGGAGGUUCGACCCGUCGGGGGCGAUCGCGGUCGGAUUCGGAUUCCCUUUUUGGUACAGCAACGCCCCGUUGCUGAAGAACCAAGUUACCGAAGAAGGGAAAAAUUGCUCGUCGGGGUGCAAAUAUAUCACGGGAGAGUACGCUUGCAUCAGAGCUUCUAUUUGCGCUAAAUUCGGCAUUGCGGAGGUGAACUCGGCGCUGAGAUUCUUCAAACAAGCGAGAGUCGUCGUCGGCGAAGGAGAGCCGUUCGAUUGGGCCGUGAACGUGCCCGCGCACACGCCGCGCGCCCGGACGCCACGAUCGGACGGCCGGAGUGAGCUCACGCUGAAGCUGCCGUCGUUGGUGGACCAGAGCGACGUGUCGGGCUCUGAUUGGUCGGUGAAGUCGGCGCGGACGCAGCGGAUUAGGUCGAGCGGGGGCUUCUGGGCGGAGUCGGUGACGAGGAGUCCUACGGCUUUGUAGCCGCUGGGAGGAGUCGGCAGCCAGAAGAAGCCGUCGCCGACUCGUUUGACGGAGGUGGAUUCGGCGCUCCACACGAGGGUGUAGUCGAGGGGUUUCGCGAGGAUGCCGAGUUCUUGGGCGUCGCGCGCGACGAGGACCCAACCGUUGAGGGGGCGGUCGUUGGGUUGGGUGUAGGACCCCAGUGAAUAGAAAUCGGCGGGGACUUCUGUCGGAUUGAAGAAUCCGGCGCCGACAUCGCCUGGGCCGCCGUCUAAUGUGGCCCAGACCUUGGUGAAUGUGGGCACUUGGCGCACUUCUAGACCCCCCAGAUCUAUGCUCCCCGUAGCAAAUCCCCCUCCUAAUAAUAAUAAUAAUAAUAAUAAUAAAUUAUUAAAAUCGAUAAUUAAUAAAUUAAACAUUUUUAUUUGCAAAAAUUAUAAUGGUUAUUUAGAUACAGGGGAAAAGAAUAUAACUAUUUGUAAAUUAAAAAAGGUAAAAAUAUAUGGAGAACUCUCAAGUACCGCAGUAUUUUAAAAACCAGGUCAAAUAACAACCCAAAAAUAUUACUGGAUCAAGGAUCACUGAUUCAGCAAUUAAUCACUCAUUGAACCAGUGACGUCAACAUGAUAUCAUAAAUAUUUAAUUAUUAUUUUUAUUUUUAAUUUUAUUAUAUGAAAUAACAUAUAUUAUUAUUUUAGUAUUAUAUUUUCUUAUAAAAAUUAGGACUCUAGUAAACAGAAAAAAGUAAAAAAAUAAAACUUGACGUGUCUCUGUUUAAACCUAAAGAAAAGUUGAGGGGGAAAUUUUAGGAUGCCUUUAGUUGAGAGGAUACACAUACUUCUUUUUUUUUAAGGGCAAUUAUUUAUAUAUUUUUGAAAAGUUUUCGACUUUAUAAUUUAUCUUUUUUUAGAAGGUUUAUUAAAAAUACCUUUUUAACAUAUCUAACUUAUUUCAAAUAUACUCCUAAAGUUAAAUUCUGUUAGUUAGCAACAACUGUUAUUUCUAUAAAAAUACUAUUUUGUCUUUUUCAAUAUAUUUUUUUAUCAUCACUAACUUUUUUAUUUGCCCUUAAGAUAGGGACAAAAGAAAUAUUUUAAUUUUUUUUCUUUUCAAAUAUAUUUUUCUAUCAUCACUAUUUUUUUAUUUGCCCUUAAGUUAAAAAACAAAGAUAUUUUAAUUUUUUAACUUUAAUAGAAAUUUAAUUCGGAUUUAACCUGAGAUAAUAACUUAACCAGUACUUACAGCACGAGCAUUUUUUAAAAACGGAGAACAAUAUGAGGAGUAUAUUUAAAAUAAAAAAAUAAGGAUAAAUUAGAUAUUUUAAAAGUUUUCAUGAUUAUAUUAGAUAUUAUUUUUUUAUAUUAUUAAUAUAUAUAUAUAUAUAUAUAUAUAAAAUAAAUUUCCAAUACCCGAAAAAAAAAUAAAAGUUUAAAUACUUUGUACAAUUUUUAAAAACAGGGUUUUUUCGAACUUAAGAAUAUAAAAUGUACAGUGUAUAGAUGUUUCGUUUCUGAAAAACAAAAAUAACAAUAUCAAGUGAAAUUAAAGAUAAAUGCCCAAAAUUUAUUAAAAAGUGUGAAUACCAUAGUAUUCGUAUAAAACUAAUUUUUUCCCAAAAAAAAAAAGAAAACUUAUUUCUAAUGAGAUUUGAAGAUUUCAUAAAUGACAAGAUAAUAUUACUAAAAUCAUAAGGAAAAAUUCGCAUUAAAAGAAAAGAAAAGAAAUGCAAGAGUGAAUUAAUCCAAAAUUAAUGAAGUUGUAGUUGUACCAAUUAAUUAAGUACGAACCUGAGGGCCAUGUUGGUAGAGGGGAAGGGAAAUUGAAGGGUGCGUCGAUGGGAAGCGUUUUUUGUCCCUUGGAGCUGGUAGUGUUUAAGCAAUUCCCCAUGGCUGAGGAAGAAGCUGUGGCUUCAGAAGCGCUUUUGGGAGGAGUAGCAGAUGUUGCUGUUGUUGAGGAUUGAGAGGAGGCAGCUGGUGACAUACUGGGAUUUAAAAGCAGUGGGGUACUUAUCUCUCUCUUGGGCUUAUUUAUGUUGGCCUUUUGUUUUGUGGUCCAAAUUUAUAAGGCUUUUAUUUUUAUUUUUUUUUAUUUUUUUUCCAAUGGAAAUCACGAGGCUAAUUAAUUGAGCUUUGUAAGUGACAUUGGUUCCUCCUAAUAUGUUUGUUUAUAGGGAAAACUUCAAAAAUCCCCCAUGUGGUUUCGUAGUUUUUCACUUUGCUCUCCUGUGGUUUAAAAUGUAUCAAUUUGCCCCCCCUGUGGUUUUGUUUUUUUCUUUUUCUUAUCAAUUUUAUUAUUUUUUUUUCCUUAAAUCAGUAAUAAAGUUAAAAUUAAAAGGUACUAAAGUGAAUAUUUGAUAAAUCUAGAUGGGUAUAUGAAGUUUUUUGUAUAUAAUUUAACGAAAUAUUAACGAAAAAGCUACCGAAAAGAUAAAAACAAAACGACAGGGGGGCAAAUUGAUACACUUUAAACCACAGGGGGUCAAAGUGAGAAACUACGAAACCACAUGGGAGGUUUUUGAAGUUUUCCCUUAUUUAUAUAUAGAAUAAAUGAGAGAGAGAGAGAGAGAGAGAGAGAGGAGAAGGGUGGUUGAAGUUGAAGCGUGCAAGAAAGACUCCAUUCUUGGUGUUUAUGGAUUUCUUACCGUAGUUGCUCUUCCACCGCAGAAAGUAUUGGGAACUUGGAAAAGAUAAAAGGCCCUCCUAGCUCCACAUGCAUUUAUCAUUGAGUGUGCGUGAGCGCAAGUGGCAUAAGAUUUGAUGCUUAGUACAUAAAAUUUUAAGUUUGAAGUAUAGUUAUUAUUUUAUAUAUUUAGAUUAGCUUAUUUUAGAAAAUUGAAUGAAGCAAUAGAAUGCUCUUUUUUGCCUUUCUCUCGAGAAAAGUAAUUCCUGAGCACUUUAGCUUUUUCGCAAAUAAAUGUCUGAGCUUUUAAUUUUGGUAAAUAUAUGCUUUAAACUUUAUCAAAUAGUUCAAUAGGUCUCUUUACUCAAGUAAACUUACUUACUAACUGUACUACUAUUUUGAUCAGAGACGCCGUUCAUAUGAUUCUAUAAGAUUUCAAAAUAUAUAUAAACAAAAUAUCUAUUUUUUGUCUUCAGUUUUGAUAAUAAGGUUUGCAAUUGAAGAAAUGCAUGGCUAAACCAAACUUCAAUUUUUAUUGCUUUUUUCUAUAUGUUAGAAAAUAAAAAAUAAAUUUUGUUGUGUUUUGAAGCUUUAUAAAAUUAGAAAUAGUGUAAUCAACAACUUCAAUUGAAUAAAACGGUCUAUUAAAUUAUUUGAUAGGUUUAAUUAAGGGGUUUAAUUGCCAAAAUUAUAAGUUCAAACGACUUGUUUACAAAAGAAUUAAAGUUAAGAGAAUUUUUGUAUAUUUUUUCGUAAUAAUAUUUAUCACCGCCGACUAUGUCUAGUGAAGUUGGUUAAAAAUUUGAUGGUUAGUAUCCGAGAUCUUAAGGUUGAUACUCAGCUACUUAGCAUUUUUAGCUGAAUUUAUUUAUAAACAAAAAUAAACAAAGCAAACAGCUUGCUACAUUUCUCUCAAAAAAAUUAAAAAUAUCAUCACCGACCGUACCUAACGUUGUUGGUUAAUGGCUUAAUGGUUGGUACCCGAGAUUUUAAAUUUGAAGCCUAAUUGCUUCACAUUUUUAUUUAAGUUUAUUUUUAAAAAUAAAUAAAGCAGGAAGUAUCUCUUUCAAAACAAAAUGAUGAUAAUAAUAUUCAUCACUAAUAACAAAAGCGACUUGAAACAAUCCCCUUACACCUAUAAGGAGGGUGUCAAUCUUAUAUUUUGUCUAUCCAAAAGCUGAUGCUCUUUUCACUGGUCUUAUCAAUUAUUUUACAAUAAUAAAAAUUUAAAAAAAAAUUAAAUCUUCAGAUUAAUGAGAGUAAGAUUUAUAAUCUACUUAUAAUAUGUACAUAUAGCUAGCAUUUAAAAAAAAAUAAAAAGGAGUUCAUCCUAGCCCUUGGUUCAAUUCAUAUGUACAAUAGUCAAAAAUAGCCGCCAAUUUUAAAUUUUUAAAGAGUCUAAUUUAGGCAGAUUCAUCCAUUGCAAUGCUGUAGCAGUUUAAUUUUAGCUCCUGGAAUAACCGACCGUCCUUAGAGUAAGUGGCAAAGGGUUUGGUGGUUGAUACUCGAGACCAAAGUUCGAAUCCUAAUUGAUUCACAUUUCCAGCUAAGUUUAUUUCUAAAUGAAAUAAACGAAGCGAGUAGCAUGCUACCUUUCUCUCAAACAAAAAAAAAAAAUAAAAAAAAAAUAAUGGAGACUUCUCAAUUAUGUAUAAACUUUUCAACUAUUUUUUUUUUAUUGGUACCAUUUAUUAUAAGUUAAAUCAUAAUACUGUGAGUCAAAAAAGUAUUAAAACCAGUCGAAUAUGAAAAGACUAUAAUGUAAUUUGAUUAAAUAGAAAUAUUACUGAGUGGUCUGUUUUAAAAUGGCCUCUAGUUAAGGGGUUCCUCUGCAUUUUAACCUAGGGGAUGUGGUUAUCUAAAUAAGUUUCCUAGUAUUGAAAGAUUAAGAAAAAUUUCAUUCAUGAUAAUAAGAUUACUUAGAAUUAUACAACUCCUGUAUUUGGUUCGCUCAGUUAUCUGAGUGAAGAUUAUUAUAUUACAAAAUUAUUUUAUUUGAUUUAACAGUAAAAUUUCAGUAAUAUAUAUAUAGUUUUCCAUAAUUGCUCUUAUACUUAAAAUUUUUAUUUAUUGAUAUUUUAUCAUUUUAAUUUAAAAUUUAAAAUUUAAAAUUUAUUUUCAAAUUUGAAUUCAAAAUCUGACUAUGAAUUUAAAAAUUAAAAUUUAAAAUUUAAAAUUUAAAAUAGAAAUUUAAGAUUUGAAUUUGAAUUUGAAAUUUAAAAUUUGGAUGUGAAUUUGAAAUUUGAAUUCAAAUUUUGAAUUUAAAUUUGAAAUCAAAUUCGUAAUCUAAAUUCAAAUUUAAAAUUUGAAUUUAAAUGUGAAAAUUAAUUUUUAUUUAAAUUUGAAUCAAAUUCAUUAUCUGACUUUAAAUUUAAAAUUUAAAUUCAAAAUCUGAAUUUAAAUUUAAAUUUUGAUUUAAAAUCUAAAUUUGAAUUCAAAUUUAAAAUUGAAAAUAAAAAUAUGAAAUUAAAGUUGAAAUCAAAUUCAAAAUCUAAAUUCAAAUUUGAAAUUGAGUUUGAAAAUAUAAAUUUGAAUUCAGAAUUGAAUUUGUAAUUUGAUUUUGGAAUUUGAAAUUCUGAUAACAAAAUAUAAAUUUGAAUUUAAAAUUUGCAUCUAAAAUUUAAAUUUAAAUUUAAAAUUUGAAUCCAAAGUCAAAUUUUAAAAUUUGAAUUUUAAACUGAAAAUAUAAAUUUGAAUUUAAAUUAAAUUAAAAAAUGUGAGUUUAAAUUUGGAAUUUGAAUUUAACAAUUAAAUUUAAAUCUAAAUUUAUGAUUCAAACCAAGCCGAGUGUCACGGACUAAACGAAUUUGCUCGCAAAAGUCCGUGCGGCGCCCACUUCCUGCUCGAAGAUGGGCAAGCCUUCUUCUCUACUUCGCCAAGUCAGGACCUACUCGUCCUAGACUUCCUCUCUACUUGAUGAGUCAGGACCUCCUCGCCCUAAGACUAAGAACAAGAGAGAGAUGAAAAAAGUUCUUCUAUUACUUUAAAGUAGUGAGUACAAAUGAGGAUUCUAUCUAAUGAGAGAGGUGGAGGCCACAACCUUAUAUAGGCCACUCGCCGCCCAUAAAGCAAAUGACAAGAUGCCAAAUGGCAUGAAACUACAAGCCAAAAGGAGAGGCCAAUAAAUAGGCUACGGUCUCCCAAGAGUCCUAAUAAAUAAGCAUAGAAACUCUAAGAGUGUUUAUUAUUCUAGAAACUCUAAGUACAUUAAUGGGCUACCUAAAAACCCCAAGGGACUCAUGACUCCUCAGCAUCCACGCCAAUCAGCCUCGAGAUCCAUGUAGAAGCUUCUAGAAUGCCCCAGCAAAACCUCCGUCAGAAUGCUCCUUCGGAGAAUGGCCCACUGUCGAGGAAAAGUCAGCGAAAAAUAUUUUGUCCGUGACAUUCUCCCCCACCAAACGCGCAGACGCCCUCGUCGCGCGUCGAGUCGCUCUCGAUCCGCAUAGCCUUCCGCACGGUCUGUCGUGCCUUCUCGCACGAUCGGCCCCGUGCCUUGCUCCUGUAGUUCGCAUCUGCCCCCGUACCCGCUCCUAGCGCCUUGCCCCUCUGAGCAUGUGCACCAGCAAGUCUGCUGUGCGAAGAAUCCGCCAAAGGUGCAUGUCCUCCACGACACGCACGCGCACUCCGCCAAGCCACAGAACGCCCUUUGGACUCCUCGGACUCCUGCUUGACAGAAUAACUUGUACCUUGAUUGGUUGCUGGCCGCUUCAGAACCACCUGAGACUCGACAGUCUCGCCGCUACUCAGUCCCUCCUCCUCGAGGCCCUUAGCCUUCCUGCACUUUGCCUCCUCGUAAAGUUGCAGGGCUGUCAGAGUUUGGUCCUUCAUCGGCUCGCCCCGACACAUCGGAACCAUGCAUGGUGCUGACUCGUCCAUGAAGCUCAGUACCCACAAGUGUGGCAUAGGCGUCACCUUCGACGAAACAAGAAAAUCCAUCCUGAGGAUGACUCCAAAGUCGUCGAGCGGCCCGACAGUGAGAUUGGCCUUACCCCUCCACGGGCCGAUGGCUAUAUCCACGUCCUUGGCAACUCCCGUGAUUGGCCGUGGCUCAGGGUUGACCGCCUUGAUGCGGCUCGCAUCCUUCUCGAGUGUGAGGCCCAACCGCUUGGCCUCCGCCUCCGUGACAAAAUUGUGCGUCGCGCCGGUGUCGAUCAUCGCCCGCGUGGUCCUCCCGUUGAGGAUCACAUCGACGAACAUGAGCUCUCUCCUGCGAAGCUUGUCGCCGCUUGGCUGACCGCGAACUGCGUUGACGAGGCUUAGCGCUCCCAUCCUCGGCAGCUCAACCACGUCAUCGUCCUCGCCCUCAGCAGCUUGGACCACAGCAACCUGCUUUCCUUUGUGGUUGCCUCUCUUCGGGCAGUCCCGCGCCCAAUGGUUCUUGCCGCAAACAUAGCAAGAGAUAUUUGCAGGCGGCGGGGCGGGAUCCUGCCGUUGCCUCCUCGCAUCAUGAUUUGGUUUGUGCCCCUUAGCGCCCCCUGGAUCGCGGUGCCCUCCCCCACCUUUGGCCUCGCUCGCCUUCAGUGGUUCACCUUGAUCACCUUCGGUUUGCUCUCGGUCGGGCAGCUUCUCCGCCAAAGCGAUCGCGGAGUUCAAGUCCUUGACGUCUCGCGCCACGAGCUCUUUAUUAGCCUAUGGCCGAAGACCGUCCAAGAAAAAGAACAACCGAUCCUCGUCGGCCAUAGUGGAGAUCGCCAACAUGAGUUUCGAGUACUCCUGGACAUACUCCUUGAGUGUGCCCCGAUGUUUGAGCCGUCGAAGUUGCCUCCGCGCAAGAUUUUCGACGUGCUCAGGGUAGAACUGCGCCUUGAGCUCGCGCACAAAGUCUUCCCAAGUCUUCAGUUCGCAUUGGCCCUUCUCGGCCUCUGCAGAACGCCGUCGCCACCACAGCAUCGCGUCGUCGGCGAGGUACAUGGAAGCAGUCUGGACCUUGUUCUCCUCGUCCUCGAUCCGCAGCGCCUUGAGAUAGUGCUCCAUGUGCCAAAGGAAGUUGUCUAUCUCCUUCUCGCCGCGCGAACCCUUGAAGCAUUGGGGUUCAGGGACGCGGACCUUCGGGGUGCGCUCCUUCUGUAUCUCGACCCCUCGAGCCACCGCCUUCUCAAGAAUGGUCACCCGCAUCUUGAGGUCGUCGACCUCGUCGACCCUGGUGACAAGAUCCUCCACUAGCACCUUUCGCUCGUCCUCGCGACGGGCGAGUUCCCUGCGGAACUCCUCGAGCUGAUGGCGAAACGUCGCCAUGGCAGUCGCAACGCUGUACUCCAUGGCAUGCAGCCCGUCCUCCAUCAUCCCCACAUGUUGGGAUAGAUCAGAGUAGAGCUCCUCCACUCUCGCAGCAGAGUCCUCCAGUACACCCACGCGGUCAUUAAGCUAGACGGACUCUCUCGCUAGAGUUCGCUCCUUACUUUUGCCGCGCUUGGAGGGCUGCUUUGGAGGGUUAGCAGUUACGUCGACGACAGCAGCAUCUGAAGACGACAUGGCUCCUUCUCGAACCUAGCUCUGAUACCAACUGUCAUGGACUAAACAAAUUUGCUCGCAAAAGUCCGUGCGGCGCCCACUUCCUGCUCGAAGAUGGGUAAGCCUUCCUCUCUACUUCGCCAAGUCAGGACCUACUCACCCUAGACUUCCUCUCUACUUGAUGAGUCAGGACCUCCUCGCCCUAAGACUAAGAACAAGAGAGAGAUGAAGAAAGUUCUUCUAUUACUUUGAAGUAGUGAAUACAAAUGAGGAUUCUUCCUAAUGAGAGAGGUGGAGGCCACAACCUUAUAUAGGCCACUUGCCGCCCAUAAAGCGAAUGACAAGAUGCCAAAUGACAUGAAACUACAAGCCAAAAGGGGAGGCCAAUAAAUAGGCUACGGUCUCCCAAGAGUCCUAAUAAAUAAGCAUAGAAACUCUAAGAGUCAUACAUUUAUUAUCCUAGAAACUCUAAGUACAUUAAUGGGCUACCUAGAAACCCCAAGGGACUCAUGACUCCUCGGCAUCCACGCCAAUCAACCUCAAGAUCCAUGUAGAAGCUUCUAGAAUGCCCCAGCAAAACCUCCGUCAGAAUGCUCAUUCGGAGAAUGGCCCACUGUCGAGGAAAAGUCAGCGGAAAAUAUUUUGUCCGUGACACGAGGGUAAUUUGGAAUUUCUGAAAAUAUUUUUAGAUUAUGCUCACUCGGUAACAGAAGAUAUCUGCCCCCUCCACAUUAAUAUAGGAUUCUCUUUUUUUCAAAAAAAAAAUAUUUCCUUCCAAUUAAAAAAUUAUCAAUCAAAUUAACUACUAUGUUAUAUUACCCAAACGUAAUAAUCUGUAAUGAAUUCUCAGUAAUUUAUUACAAAUAGUGCAAACCAAAUACUCCCUAAUGUUUCGUGAUUCUGUUUUUAACUUUCCUUGUAGAUUUAAGUUUAUGUGCAGGGUAGGGAUGGUGACCCAAUGUGUGGACCAUAAGAUGUAUGUGUUAAUAGCAUAAUCCGGGGGAAUAUCUUUUUGUGGGAAAGGCCUACAAGUUUAAGUUUCCUUUAUUAGUAUCAUUAAGUGUAGUAUCAUUAAUGCUAGAAGAAGAAAUAAACUAAGACAAGUUAUAGUUUAGUACUAAUACACUGUAUUUGUGCAUAUUUGUUAUUUGGAUAUGUUAUAGCACUGAUAGGUGAAAAAAAAAAGAGCCCAUCACAUUAUAUACAUGUCAAGAUUCUAAUUUAUAUCUAGUAUGAAGCUUAUAUAUAGAGUGAGGCUACUAUGCUAUCGGAAGCACAGAGCCUUCCGUGCUUCCAGCUCGUUUUCGAUAUUGCGACUUUCGAAUCGUCGAUCGGCUCCGUUAAACUUAAUCUAGAGUAUUUGAAGUACCUAGAAAAUAAAUUUUAUGAUUUUACGAUAUCAUUUGCCUAGUGAACGAAGGGGCUCAAAAUCAACGGCUGAAAAUAAAAAUCUUACAAAAUGUAAUAAUAUGACAUUAAAAUUUUGGAUCAAAGAUAUUGAUCUUGUUUUAUAUAGUAUAAAGAAUUUUCUAUCAAAAUUUCACGUGAUUUGGAUAUUUCUACACCGUUAAACUUGCAAACGGCUCACUACGGCCAUUGAAAUUUGUUGAUUUUGAGCCCAUUCGAUCACUAGGCAAAUGAUAUUGAAAAAUAAUAAAAUUUAUUUUCUAAGUACUCCAAAUACUCUAGAUCAAGUUUAACGGAGCCGAUCGACGAUUCGAAAGUCGCAACAUCGAAAACGAGCUGAAAGGACGAAAGGCUCCGUGCUUCCGAUAGCAUAGUAGCCUCACUCCUUAUAUAUAUAUAUAUAUAUAUUUCUAACAUGCCCCUUCAAUACAUACUAGGCCUACUAGUACGUGGUACGAAUUUAUUGUUGUUAUACAAGAAUUGAAAAAAAUGAUUUAAAAGUCUAGAUGAUUAACUGAAAUGAACUUUCUAGAAUAACAUUUCUUUCCCUUCUCCUAUUUGCUCCUCAAUUCUGUUCUAAAAGUUCCGUCGAAAUUACAUAGAAAAUGUAAUUUUGUUUUCUAACCUUUUUUUUAUUUUUUAUUUUUUUGUUCCUUCUCCCGUUUGAAACUUGCUAUCUAUCAUUCCACAUGUCACAUGUUUUAAUUAAGUAUUCCUUUUUCUUCUUCUUUUCUUUUUUUUUUCGUUUGAGGGGGGUCAAAAGCUAAAUUUAGAAGGAUCAUAAAUAGCUGAUGGCUAUGGAGUAUUACAAGGUAAUGUUCAAUUUUCGGACCCUUUUAAGGUUCAGAUUAAUCUUUGUAUUUUAAUCGACUCUCACCUACUAGCUAGCAGAAUUACAUUUGAAUCUCACUCAAACCACAGAUGCAUAUAAUAGCCCCUGUGAUAGCUACUAUAAAUCUCGAGAUAAAUUAAUAACAGUGGUUAUGCACAUAACUGUUUCGACUAAAAAAAUAUAUACCCUGUAACAAAAACAAUCGCUGCCGAUGUUACCGAUGCGAACCAAAAAAAAAAAAAAAANNNNNNNNNNNNAGAGGAGAGAGAGAGAGAGAGAGAGAGAGAGAGAGAGAGAGAGAGAGAGAGAGAUCAACGCAAAUAGUCAGUAAAACUGCUGUUAUAAUAAAUGUGAUGAUAUAACAAUGGUCCUUUAUGAAAAUAUAGCAACUAUUUUUGGAUAACGCAGUGAAUUCUAUAGAUCGUAAGUACUUAUUAUUAUUUCAAAAACACGUACGAAUAGGAAAAGCUCACUCAUCGUAUUUAAGGGCCCAGUAAUCAUGCUCACGAGUAAUGUGAGUUUCGACCUGACUCAACUCACAUAAAAGUUAGGUAUAUUGCUGAGUCUCUUACCGUUAGGUUUUUAGUAAAUAAUAAAUAGUCAACAAUACUCUCCCGCACUGCACUAUUAAUGCAAUAUGUGAAAAUCGAACUCAUAACUCUGACACCACUUGUGGAUUGUAAGUGCUGACCAAUUAUCUCAAAAGUAUGUGCUAAUAGAAAGAGCACAACUAUCGUACUUAAUGGCUCAGUCAUAAUGCUUACGAGUUACAACCGGACUAAAUUCUUUUGAAUAUUAGGCUUAUAAUUGGGCCUUUUACCAUUAGUCUAUUAUGUGCCACAGGCCUACUUAAUUUAUUGGACUUACACAACUCAACUUAUUGAUCUUUUGAGCCUAUUAUCACGGGGCAGAAAUUUGGACCUAUUUUAGCCAAUAAUAAAUAGCUAAUAAAUUCGACUGCUAUUAUAAACCUAUAUUCCUAUCAUGAAACAAUGCGUUUGCAUUAAGAAGUCAUUUGGUUAGAUGUAAUUAUAAAUGUAGUGUACUUAGAAAUGCAUGCAGUUGUAAAUACAGCAGUUACAAUUAUAUUAAUCCUAUUUUGUUGGAUGUAGUAGAAAACGCUGCAAGUAUAAAUAAUUUGUUUAGUUGCAUGCAGUUGAGAAAUAAUUUUUAAAAUUUUAUUAUUUUAUAUAUAUGAUGGUGAGAUUACCUCCAAUGUAGAAAAGAAAAAUAUUUUUUGUUUAAAAAAUAUUAAGAAGGUAAGCAUAUCUUUUAUUUAAAGUUACUCUCUUCAGCUACUGUAGUUGGAACUGCAGUCAAUUUGAGCAUAGUUCGAACUGCUGCAGUCGGGCAUCCUCCUGCGGUUCCUACUGCAGCAGUUGGAGUUAAAUAUAUCAAACCAAAUACUGAAUUUGUAUUUACAUACAGUUACAACUGCAGUGUAGUUACAACGACAUACAACCAAACGGCCCCUAAGUAAAUAUGCUAUGUCUGUUGGAUCGAAGUUGUAGAUAAUUUUAAAUAAAGUAUUAGAAUUCGAACCCCAUAAUUUUGGUCAUAUUAGUAUUGGAUUAGGACUUUAAUUAGGAAGGUCCGUUUAUAUUCUUAAACAAAGACCCAAUAAUUUUGGUCAUGUUAUAUAGCAUGGGAUUAGGACUUAAUUAAUAACAUCCAUUUAUAUCCUUAAACAAAACAAAAUAUAAUGUUCUCCUACAAAUUCUUUUUGGCCUACUUUACAUAUAAACAUGAGUAACACUACUCAUACACCCCAAUCAGAAUAUAUAAAUUAUGGUUCACCAAUUCAAUAGAUUGAAGUUACUCGCUAAUCAUAUCAAAUGACUAUUGAAAACACUUCAUUCAUUAGAUUAAUAAAGUGUAAGAUAUAUGCCUCAAUUGGAAUCUACAAGUAGUUUUUUCCUACAUAUAUUGAGCACAUUGCAAAUACUACCACCCAGGUCAUAUUUUUCUCAGAUGUAGUAAAUACAUUUACUAAAUGAUUGUAUCUUAAAGUCAAAUUUGUACUUUAUACCUAACUUGCCUAUAUGUCAAAUAGAACAUUCGUGCACUAGUAUCAUGUGAAGCACAUUCCCCUCUCAAACAAAAAAAAAAAAAAAACAAAGAAAGAGAGAGGGAAGGUGAAGCUUCCUUUUGUCUCUUAGUUAAAAAUGAACUUCUUAUCCAAAUAUUCAUUUCAUAAAAAAUAUUUUUAAAAUUUUAUUGGUGGUUGCAAAUAAAAUUAGUAAGGGAACCGACCGUUCCUAACGCAAGUAAGAAAAUGUUUGGUGGUUGAUUUCAAAUUCGAAUUCUAAUUGGUUCACAUUUUCAACUAAGUUUAUUUUUAAAUAAAAUAAACAAAGCGGAUGGCAUGCUACCUAUCUCUUAAAAAAAUAAUAAUAAUAAAAUUAGUAAUGGAGGAGGCAUCUGGCAGAAAUUAAAGGCAAUUUAUAUAUUCCAAUCUCAAACCUAGCAGAGCUACAAGAUCUCAUAGAUCUCGAUAUUGAGUUCCCAAUUCAUUUAUAAAAAAGUUGGGCUGGAAUGCUAUCGCCUAUCGGUGACAAGCGGGUUUCAUUGUCAUCCAUUUAUUUUCGACGACGAUUGGCAUGAUUGAACAUGAUCUAUACCACAUGAAGCAUCUAGAAACCAAAUUUCAAAUGUUUUCGAUAUCAUUGACCUAAAAGAGUUUCAAAAUUUAUAAUUUUAAUAGUCAAUACGAGGCUUUUUUUUCAUUUAACGGUAUAAAGAUAUUCACAUCAAUUGAAUUUUGAUUAGAAAAUUUUUUAAGCUAUUUAAAAUAAGAUCUAUACUCUCAAUCUUGAUUACAAGAUUUCUAUCAUCACUUCUUAAAAGAUAUUCAUUAUCAGUCGUUCAUUUUUGUGUCCACUUGAUGGACAAAAGAACAAUAUCGAAAAAGUAUGAAAUUUAAUUUCUAAAUGUUUCAAGUGGUAUAAAUCAUGUUCAACGAUACUGAUCGUCUAUUUGGAGGCUCCAUCAUCGAAAAUAAAUAAAUGGUAACGGAACCCGUUUACUACUGAUAACAUUCCUGCUCAACUGUAUUUAACAGAUUUAUUAUGUAAAUAUAUUGAAGCUCAACUAUGUCAGCUGGUAAAAUAGAAUUUAGUAUGUGAACUAUUUUUAAAAAUGAAAUAGGCCCCCGCAAGUUAGGAGUUUUCCUAGCACCUACUUUUUCAAUCUUUUAUAAAAUUAUGAUAUAUUCCCUAAUGAGAGAGGGGAGGCAUGUGUUGUGCAUGUUCAAAGAGAAGAGAAAUGAAUUUAUUUUGUGACCACAUGCUUCAUUGAUAUCACCAACCUAAUACGUGAAGGAAAAAAAGUCCGAUAAUUUAGAGAAAGAAUAAACCACAUUUUUUUGUCCUUAGAUUAUAAAGCGGAUGAUAUUUGGUUCUUAAAUUUUAAUUUAUUGCAACGUUCUCUAGUUCAAUUAUUUUAGAUUAGUAUAACUAAGUUUUUAAAUUUAAUUUAGUUGGCUAAAUUAAUGCUGAUGUGAAGCUGAUGUAGUGGCAGUGUGAUAUAGUAGUCAUUGUCACGUAUCAAUCAUUACUAUAAUAUCAGCGAAGCGUCAUUUUUAACUAGACUCAAUUACAAUAAUCUAAAAAAUUUGAGCUAAAAAUUGCAAUGGACUAAAAUUUAAGGACCAAAAGUGUAAGUUAGCAUUUGGAUAAAUAUUGUGAAAUGUGUGCCUAAAAGAGUUCAAUAGUUUGAGGAUAAAAAAAAAAUAUGCCUGGUGAACUAUAUUGGAUCGAAUUAAUCCAUGAUUUUGCCCAUAAAAUCAAUUUAAUAAGAAACACUUCAGAUAUAUAUUUAAUAAAUAUAUAUCAUGUGCAAAUAUUAAACCUCAAACACAUCAGCUAGUAAAAUAGAGCUUACCAUGUGAAACACUUUUUAAAUGUAGUAGGUCCCCCACAAGUUUGGAGUUUUUUCCUAACACAUAUUUGGCAAUAUGUGAUAAAAUAUAUUAUAUAUUAUAUAUAUAUUCUAUAAAGAGAGAGAAGGCAUGUGAUGUGCAUGCUCAAAUUAAGAGGAGAGAAAUGUAUUUCAUUUUGUGACCACAUGAUUUUUUGAUAUCACCGACUAAAGACCUAAAUAAAAAAGUCCAAUAAUUUAGAGAAAGGGAAAACUUUUUUUUUUUUUUGUUCUUUGAUUAUAAGGUGAAUGACAUGUCGUCAAAUUUCAAUUGGUUGUAAUUUCUAUCUCAUAUACUCGCUAAGUUAUUAUAAUUAAAUUUUAUAAUCCAAUUUAGUUGAUUGGAUGCUGAUGUCCUACAUGCUGAUGUGUCGCUGACGUGAUAGUAAUGUGAUGUAACGGCUCAAUCCACUAGCAACAAUAAUUUGUUGGGGCCAAACACCGAUCCAAAAUGCUUAAGUCCAGUUACUAUUACUAGUGUCUAAGUCUUUUAUAUAUCCAAUCACAUUUCUAUUUAUAUCCGAUGUAGAAUUAUUGGGAUGUAACACACAUAGGAAUCAUUGCCACAACAUCAAUCACAAUACUGUUAUAUAACUGUUAUAUCUGCUGUAACACAAUCUUACUAAGUAGAUUUGAUUGUAAUAAUUUAGAAGAAAAAUGAAAUAGUGAUUGCGACAAAUUACAAUCUAAGGAUUGAGGAUCAAAAUUAUAAUUUAGCCUUUGGAGAAAGAGUGCGGCUAAGUAUGCAACCUUUUUGGAUUGUAGGCCAAGUUGUAAGAACUAGUCUCAUCAAAUAUUUUUUUUUUUUACACAAAUUAAAAAAAUUGGUAAAUCCUUUUGGCCUUUGGAUUUGGGAUUUUAAAAAUUACAACCCCCAAAGUUGUAGACUUAAAAGAGUUCAACAGUUUGAAAAAGGAAAAAUGUCCCGGGCCUAUACAUUAAUAAACUAUAUUGAAAUCUAAACUAGCUCUUAUAUAACACUAUUUGUUCUAAUUUCUAAGUUUAAAUUACAUAUUUAAUAUUUAAAAUUAAAAAUCACAUUUUAAAUUCAAAUUUAAAUAUCAAAAUCAAAAUAAAAAAUUUAAGUUUGAAAUCAAAAGUUAGAUUCAAUUUAAAAUUCAAUUUUAAAAUUUAGAUUUCAAUUCAAAUUCAAACUUUAAAUUCAAAUUCAAAAUUCUAAUUUCUAGUUAGUUUAAAUUUUAAAUUUAACUAUUAAUUACAAGUAGAAAUUCAAAAAUUUGAAUUUUUAUUUUUGGAGAAUAAAGUGAAAAAAGUGCAAAGUUUAGGGAUCAAAAAUGACUUGCAAAAAAAAUGCCAAGUAGGCCAUAGUUAGUUAAUUCGGAUUCGGUAAAAAUUCGGUACGGCUAUAAUUCGGAUAAAAUUUGUUUUUUAAUUUUUAAAUUCGUUGAAAAAUACGGCUAAAAAACGGGUUCAGUAAUUAUUCGGAUACGUGAUUUAUACGGAUAUUAUACGUUAACCAAUUAAAAAUUUGGAAUCAAAAAUUCGGCUAUAUAAUAAAUAAAAUUUAUAUAUUUAAAAAUAAUAAUAAAUAAUUACAAAUUUAUAAAUAAAAUAUUAUAUAAAUAUUUCUAUAUAAAAAUAAAAUAAAAUAUAUAAUACAUGAAUAUAUAUUUAAUAAAUAAAAUUAUAUAAUAUAUAUAUAUAUAUAUAAUAUAUAUAUUAUAUUAUAUAUAUAAAAUCUAUACUUACUUAAAAACGUGUUUUGAAAUUUUUCUUUCAAAAAUGUCUCUAUCUUUUUUACUAAUAUUGUCAUGAAUCCAGAAUUCCAAACUGAUUUAUAAUAAAUUUUAAUAAUAAUAUUAUCUUAAAUAUAAGAUCUAAGUUUCCCAUUAGAUCCUCAAUCCAACGAAUAAAAAUAAAGUAUCUGCAUAUUGUUGACAAAUAAACCCUUAAUCCUAUACUCCUAUCAACGUCGCUUUCUCAUAUAUUUUUUUUCUACCGGCACCAUACGCAAAACUAAAUCUAUACUCCAUAUCUAACCGUAAUACCCGCCAUCCAUGAAUACCCGCUAAUCACGUAAUACGUAACAAUUAAAUUUAUUUGCCUGCCAUUACAUGUAUAUUCAAAAUUAAAAUAUUAAUCUUGUCAUGCCUGCAUAAACUUUAAUACCGCUAUACCCUUAUCAUCCUAUCUAACGUCGCGUUUUCAUAGAUUUUUUUCCUCAUCAAUACCUUCGCUAAUCACAGUAAUACUAAAAUUAAAUUUAUUUCUGUCCAACGAUGUAGUGAUUCAAAAUAUAAAAUUUAAAUUCUGUAUAAUGCCCGCAUAAAUUUAAUUACCCCGAAUUGCAUAAUUGAAUUUAAUUUUUGAUAGAGGUUUUCUAAAUAAAAUUAGUAGAUUUAAUUUAACGAGUAUUAAAAUUUGGCGCGCCGAAUAAAGACGUUAAAUACUGUUAAAAAUAUUUUAAUAUCCACAAAUCAAAACGUAAAUCGUAAUAACAUUAAUUUUUAAAUAUUUUUAACAAAAUAUCAAUAUUAAAUAAUCAUCGUAAAACAUAAAUAUCUUUUUUAAAAAUUAUACCCGCACAAUCAAAACAAAAUUCGUAAUUAAAUAAAUUAUUAAAUCUUAUUUACCAAAAUAUUCAACAGGCCAAAAUAUUCUCCGUGUUUUCCAAAUAUAAAUAUAUAUUAUCUAUUUUAAAUAAAUAUUCAAAUAAUAAUUAUUCUCAAUAUAAGAUUAAGUUUUCGCCAUUGAUCUCAUCCACGAUAAAACAUAAAAUAUCGUGUAUUUUUGUCAAAAGUUUUCGCCAUGGACUAUCCAACGAUGAAAAUAAAGAAUAUCUGUUUAUUUUUGUUGACAAAAAAACCUUUUCAAAUUUUUUUCUAGCCAACAAUAUGUAAUACUAAAAACUAAAUUUAUCUCUUAUCUAACGUCCUAACCGCCAAAUCACGUAAUAUUCCCACUAAUUACGUAAUAUGUAAAAUUAAAUUUAUUCAUAUCAACAUUUUCCUCAAAAUAUUUUUUUUUCUCAAACGUAAUACCUACCAAUCUAGUACCAAUUAAAAAUUUUAAAUUGUAAUGCCCGCCCAAAAUUUAAUACGCCGCGACUUGAUAAUUUGAAUUUGAAUUUAAAAUAUUCUCCUUUUUAUCAUUUCACAUAAUAAAAUAUUAAGAACAUAAUUAUUUGGAAUGGAUUAUGAAGUAUGAGAUUGAAUAUAGAUCUGAUUUCUUAAGACAAGCAUAUCAACUAACAUCAAUUGGCAUGAACAACAUAGAUAUAACUAAAUUAUUGGAUGGAUUGAAGUCAAUGAAUGCGAAUUAGAUUCAUACUUUAGAAGAAGAUAGGCUCAUUAACACGAAGCAUUUGGAGAAGUACACUAUGUAAACAAUGUCAGUUGUUGUAUAAAACAUGAGUUGCACUUUAAUAUACGAUAAUUAGGAUAAUGUAUUUUUUAAUAUUUAUUAUUUUUGGUAUUUAAAUUUAUUUCAUCAGGAUCAUUUAGCAAAUUUAUAAGUAACAAUGUGUCUUCAAUCCACCAUUCCAAAAACUCAAAAAGAAAUAAAAUAAGCCUAAUCUUUUACUUAUAUGAAAUUCUUAUAAUUUUACAUUUUUUUAAUUUAUCUAUCGAGAUUUACUCAAUUAUUUUAUUGAUUUUUCUACUUACAAUGCAAUUUACGGAAGGGGAACUAAUGGAUGGACAUUUCAAUUAGUUAUUAGUGACGAAUUUUGUCAUUUUUUAUGCAUACCAUGUAGAUUUUGUGGUUCUUUCUUUUAUGAUAUUGUAAUUCUAUUUUUUUUCUAUAUUAUUAUUAUUAUCGAAUCUAUAAUAUUAUUUAAAAUUUUCUUUUUUUUAGUUAUUUGUGUCUUGACGUGACCCCCCCCCCCCGGAUAAUUAGAAAAUGUAUUUUUAAUAUUUAUUUUUUUGUGGUAUUUAAAUUAUUUAUCAGGAAUCAAUUAGCAAAAUUUAUACAGUAAAAUUGCUCUUAAUCCACCUAUUCAAAACUGCAAAGAAAUAAAAUUAAGCUAAAUUUUUUACUUAUAUGAAUCUUAUAAAUUUACAUUUUUUUAAUUUUAUCUAUUCUGAUGAUUUACUAAUAUUUAUUUUAUUAUUUUUCUUACUUACAAUGCAAUUUGUACGGAAGGGGAACUAAUGGUGACAUUUUCAAUUAGUUUAGUGACGAAUUUUGUAUUUUUUUUUAAUGAUACCAUGAUAGAUUUUGUGUUCUUUCUUUUAUGAUAUUGUAAUUCUAUUUUUUAUUUCUAUCAUUUUAUUUUAUCGAAUCUAUAAUAUUUAUUUAUAAAUUUUUUUUUUUAGUAUUUGUGUGACGUGCGUUGCACGUGCACUUAACUAGUAUAUAUAUAUAAUUAUAUUUGUAUUAUAAAUAUAUAAUACAAAUUAUUAAUUUUAAAUUUUUAACCCAACUUUUAAAAAAAAUUCAGCUAAUUUAUAAAAGAGGCCUAUGGGCCCAUUUAUAUUUAAAAUUUCUUAGUUUCACUCAUGGCCCAUAAGCACAUGAAAUAAAUUUCACUCUUUCUAUUGCUAUGUCCAGCUAACUCUUAACCCUAAUUAGCUUUUACCCAAUUUUUUUCACACUGCAGCGGCACACAGCAUUACAACAACACACAAGAGUCUCUCUCUUUCUCUCUCUCUCUGACUCGCACAUGGGCACAAGCACCACCACAGUUCCACAGCCGCCUCUCUCUUUCUCUAUCUCUCUCAGUCUCUCACAACCGUAGACUCUAUCUCUCUCAAUCUCUCAACCCUCGGCAGCAAACUUCGGCGGCAGCGAACUUCGGUAGCAUUAUAUAAUCGAGCUAACGAGACGAACAUGAAUCAGCUCAAUUAAGUUUCGAACCGAUCACGAGCCAGAGUUUUCAAGCUCUUCACGAGCUCGAGCCGAACACGAGUCGACCUUGAAGACGACGAGUCAAGCUCGAGCUGGCUCCAGCUCGCUCGAGUUCGACUUGUUUACAGCCCUAGCGUUAACAUAGCAAUUUCGUUAUUUUUAAUAUCUCUUUUAAUUGCUGGGACGUAAUCGCAAUAAAAUAAAAAAGUAAGAACUUGAUGGCAAAAUAUAUAUAUAUAUAUUAGAGACUAAACUAAAAAAUGGUGCAAAAGUUGGGACCAUUCUUAAUAAAAAAAUACAUGUGCGCCCCACAAAACCCCCAAAAUAAAGAUAAGGCUCCUUUGGGUUGAGGAUUCUUAAAUUCAAAAUUUUGAAUUUUGUUUUGAGGAACAAAAUGAAAAAAAUACGAAGUUUAGGGAUCAAAAAAUAAGAAGAAAGCUCCUUUGGGGCUGAGGAUUCAUGUAUUUGCACAGUGGCUUAUAGAAAAAUAUGAGACAAAGUAUGAUCUUUUCUUAAAGGGCAAAGGAGGUUCCAUUCAAAUUAUGUGAGUAGACAACAAGGAGAGAUAAGGAUGGCAUCAAAAUGAGUUAUUAUUGCUGACGAGUCGGAUUGUCACACCUACCACGCCUGACCCGUUUUACACCCCUACUAUGUUGGCCAACUCGGUCGGCCAUUUUAAAUCGAUACCAAAAGUUUAAGAAUUAUGUUAGAAAUUCACAUACGAAUAGUUUUAUAUAAAAUAAUAAUCAAGAGUUAACAAUCAAGAGUUAAGAGCCUUGAUAUAAACUAACUAGUCCAAAUCUAAAAUAGCUGAGGCAUUGUUGGGAUAUCGAAGUUAUUCAAAAAUAAUUUAUUUGGUAUGAGAGUUAAUUUGUUUUGUAAUUAAGAGUUAAGGAAUUUGAUAUGUGUUUCUUGAAGUAUUUAACUUUAUGAUUUGAUAGGAUAGGAUAUCAAACCUUGGAGGUGAUCUACUUGAUUUCAAUAAAUUUCUUAAAACUAAUUGUCCCUGGAGCAAGUGGCAAAGGGCUUGGUGAUUGGUACCCGAGGUCCCAAGUUCGAAGCGGGUAGCGUGCUAUCUAUCUCUCAAAAUAAAUAAAUAAAUAAAUAAAUUUCUUAAAGAAAAUAUAACGUCAAUACUACAAAUUUAAAUGCACUUCUCAUCUACCAAAUGCUACAAGUUUCUUAAAUAAAUUAGAAAAUAUAUACUAAACAAAAUGAUUACACGUCCAAACAAGGUCUUAAUUUUUUCAUACUAUUAAACAAGACUAAUUCACAAUAUGAAAAGGGAGUAGGCGGAGUUAUGCAACUCUAUAAGGGCCCGUUUGGUUCAAGUUAUGUAAUAUUACAAAGUAUCUCGACAUAUCCAGGUAUCUUGGAUUUCGGCAUGAGAUUACUACUGAUGCUGCAUUAGAGCGUUUGGUUUAAUACAGUAAUGUAAUACUAGAUUACAGUGUUUAUAGCAUUAAUAUGUUUGGUUCAGUUUAUAAAAUUUAGUAAUCCUGACAUAAAAGUAUAGUUUUUUUCUAAAAUUGCUCUUGUUGUUGUCAUUUGAAUAUUAUUUUUUACGGAAAUGACGAAUGGAGGGAAAGAGAUCGUGAUGAUUACUUGGGAGGAUGACGCAAUAGAAGACGAUAGGUAUUCGUGCGCGCGUGAGAGAGAGAGAGAGAGAGAGAGAGACGUUGAGAGAGAGAGAGCGAGAGAAAGCGGCGUGCGAGAGAGAGGGCCGGGGGGAAGGCAAGAGAGAGAUGAAAAUAAUACUGUUAAUUAGAUUUGGGGUUGUUGGAGGGUAAAAUUGUCAUUUUACAUAAUAUAUAGUAUUAACGGGUUUCAGUAAUGCAAGAUACACGACCCCCCUUCUGUUAAUAUUUUCGAUGUAAUCCUGUUCGAUUUGUAAUACUAUAUUAACGACUAGAUUACAUAGCGGAUUAACCAAACACAGUUAUCCUGGCAGAAUUGCCUGUAAUCCUGCCAGGAUAACUCGAACCAAACACACUCUAAGUGAAACCUCCACUUGAACAUUUUAAGGGAAAAAAAAAAGUUAUAAACUUAGCAGACAAAGCAUUUUCCUUUUAUUCUGGUCAAUAGCAGUGCUAGUAUGUUUGGAGCACUUAUAUAUGAGAGACAAUUCCUUAUAUGCUUCUGAAAAGUUGCCGACUUUUUUAUUUAUUUUUUUUAGAAAGCUAAUAUUAAAAAUAUUUUUUAAAUAUUUUAAGUUAUUUCAAAUAUAUUUUUAGAGUUAAAUUCUGUCAGUAAACUGUUAGCAACAACAGUUAUUUUCAUAAAAUUAUUAUUUCGUCCUUUCAAAUGUAUCUUAUUUGUUCUUAAAUUAGGGCCAAAAAAAAUAUUUUGACUUCUUGUAACUCAAGUAGAAAUUUAUUUCGGAUUUAAGCCAAAAUAACUUAACAAGUACUAACAGCAAAAGUAUUUUUGAAUAACAGAGAAAUAUACUAAAAAUAUAUUUAAAAUAAAAAAAUAAAGAUAUAUAAGAUAUUUCAGAAGUUUUCGGAGAUAUAUUAGAUAUCAUCCCUGUAUAAUACAUAUACCUAAAACUUUUAUUACACACCGGCCUCCUAUUCAUAUAAACUAAACUUUCUCAACUUUUGGAACUUCUCUUUGUGCUGUAGUUGUAACAAGAAAAUCAACUCAAUCCAACAAACAAGAAGCCAACAAUUGUAGCUCCCUCUAAUAAAUUUUAAGUAUUUGUACAUUUGUCACCAUCCUCGUAUAAAACUAAAGUCACAUCCACAUUUUUUUUUUGGAACCUAUCUAAAAUAUACCAAAGUUCGAUGACUAGAAACCCAAGCUUAGAAAACCACACAUGGAAUCGCCACAAAAUCCCUUGACAAUAAUUUUAUUCACAAACUUCCACCCAAAGUAUGACAAAAAUCAUCCCAUUUCUUACUGGGUAAAAUGCAUCGAUAUCCUUAUACUUUCCCCAUAUUGCAACUUAGUUUAUGCACUUUUCGUGCGAACAAUUUAGUUUAUGGAAGUUAUAAAGUAAUAAUUCACUUGUAUCUAAUAAUUUUAAGUGCUCGUCGGCACAAGCUGUAUUUGUCGUACUUUAUUGUGCCAAUAAAAUAUCGGCAUGAUACAGUCUCUGUACCGAUGGCACAGUUCAAAACUCUCUAUUCUUUAAAUUAAUAAGUAAUUUUCUUAAUAAAGUUCAAAAAAUUUGAUAAAAAUAUAUAAUAAACAGUUAGAAUAUUUUAUUGCUAAAAAAAAUAAAUAUUUCAUACUAUUAUAUAUUGGCACACAUGAUUUGUUUUCGACCAGUACGGAUUGGUACGGUCGGACACGCACCGUACCGCACCAUACCGAUAAGUUUCCGACACGAUUCCAUACCACGACACUUAAAUAUUUGCUUGUAUCAGCUUAUAUCAGAUCGUGAUUGCGUAGUUAAUAAUCAAGCUAAAUUAUAAUAUAUGUAACAUAAGUACGAAAAUGUCAUACGAGAAUAGUACAGGAACCAUUUGUACAUUUUACCCUUCCUUGUUUAUGUGUGUAUAUAUAUAUAUAUAUAUAUAUAUAUAUAUAUAUGUGUGUUAUUAUCUAGGCACUCCAUUGAACUCACCACACUACUAAGAAAACCAUGGCUAAAGCCUCUCUUCUCUCCACGCUCCUCUUCUUCCUCUAUCCAAUACUCUCAUAUUCGCAAACAUUACCAAUCAAUGUUUGGCCCAAGCCCACCAAUAUCUCGUGGCCCGUCCCAACGGCGGCGCCUCUCUCUCCUUCUUUUAAAAUUAUCUCUCCUUGCGCAGACCACUCUUAUCUCCAAUCCGCCGUUGAACGAUUCACCAGCCUUCUGUUCUCUGAACGUUACUAUCCAAUCGUAACCCCCGCCGUGAAUUUGACCACGUCCCGCCCUUUGCUUUCGCUGACCAUCUCCGUCGCCGACCUCUCCGUCCCUCUCCAACACGGCGCUGACGAGUCCUACGCGCUAUCAAUCACCUCGUCCACCGGCCUCGCGAAUCUAUCGGCGGCCACCGCAUGGGGCGCGAUGCGGGGGCUCGAGACCUUCUCCCAGCUGACAUGGGGCGCCGAUCCGCCGCUGGUCGCGACCGACGUGUACGUCGCGGACCGCCCGUUGUUCCCGCACCGCGGUUUGAUGCUCGACACCGCGAGGAAUUACUAUCCGGUCGCGGACAUAUUGCGGACCAUCGAGGCUAUGGGAGCUAACAAGUUGAAUGUGUUCCAUUGGCACCUCACGGAUGCGCAGUCGUUUCCGAUAGUUCUUCCAACGGAACCCGGGCUAGCGGAGAAGGGAUCGUACGGGACGGGGAUGCAGUACACGCCGGACGACGUGAAAACCGUCGUCGAGUUCGGGAUGAGCCGCGGCGUGAGGGUGAUGCCGGAGAUCGAUGCUCCAGGUAAUGCUUUAAUCCUAUGAAAAUUUGUUUUCCCAAGUUGGGACUGCUGUAGUAAUAGAUUAAGUUCUAAAAGAGUUAUUCGAAGAAGCACAAAAAUUUUUUUGAUCAAAUUGCUCUCAAUAGUUUAAGUUUCGAAUUAGAGUUUCUAAUUUCAAAAGUUAAAUAUUCAUUUGGAGUUCCCAUUGCAACAAAAGUGUAAAACUUUUAUUGCUAAAUAUUUAUUUAGCUACUAAAUUGUAGAGUGAAAUCUAGUGUGGAAAUUCAUCCAAACAAUUUCUCUCAUUAACCUGUCACAAAUUAGACGGCAAGGAAAAGGAAACGUGGAGUGCGGGUCAAAUAGACCACAAACUAUUUGGGGUAGAAAAAGGUCUAAGCAUCUUGCUUAGUGCGAACUUUAUUGAAUAUAAAAUACAAAAAUAGUUUGCUGAUAUAUUUGUAUCAACUUGUGUUGUUUUUACUCUAUAGUUAUGUGUAUAAAUAAAUCAAAAUUUUUUAUAUUGCAAUAAUUAAUCUGUACGGGUUGCAGCGCACACGGGAUCAUGGGCCGGCGCGCAUCCCGACAUCGUGACGUGCGCCAAUAUGUUCUGGGUGCCGAACGGCGCGGCAGACUGGCCCAACCGCUUGGCCGCCGAGCCGGGCACGGGCCAGCUGAACCCCCUGAAGUCGGAGACGUACGACGUCUUCCGCAACGUCGCCGCCGACGUCGCCUCCCUAUUCCCCGAGCAGCUCUACCACGCCGGCGCCGACGAGGUCACCCCCGGCUGCUGGAAAGCCGACAGCUCCAUCCAAGCCUUCUUAGCUGCUGGCGGCACUCUUAGCCAGCUCCUGGAACUCUUUGUCAGUUCCACUCACUCUUUUGUACUGUCCCUGAACCGCACAGUUGUGUAUUGGGAGGACGUUUUAUUAGACCCUGUGGUUAGGGUUAACCCUGCAUUAAUUUCCCCUAAGAAUACUAUUCUUCAAACUUGGAACAAUGGGCCCAAUAAUACUAAACUUAUUGUCUCCGCCGGGUAUCGCGCGAUCGUCUCGUCGUCCGACUUCUACUAUUUGGACUGCGGUCACGGCGAUUUCGUCGGGAAUAAUAGCAUUUACGAUUCGGUCGGCAGCGACAGCGACAGCGACGGCGGUUCGUGGUGCGGGCCGUUUAAGACGUGGCAGAGGAUCUAUGACUACGACAUCACUUACGGGCUCAGUGAGGAUGAGGCUAAGUUGGUGCUGGGCGGGGAGGUGGCGUUGUGGUCCGAGCAGGCCGACUCGACGGUGCUGGACGGCCGGAUUUGGCCGAGGGCGUCCGCGAUGGCGGAGGCGCUGUGGUCGGGGAAUCGGGACCCGGCCGGGAGGAAGAGGUACGCCGAGGCGACCGACCGACUGAACGAUUGGCGGCAUCGGAUGGUGGGGAGGGGGAUCAGGGCCGAGCCGAUUCAACCUUUGUGGUGCAGGACCCGUCCUGGAAUGUGCAACACAACUUAAAAGUGUGUGAUAUGUUUAAUUCUCCUGUGUGGUUCUUACGUAUUCAUUUGUGCUUGUUUCACAUGUAUGAUCGUUAUGUUAGUGUUGAUUUACUUUCUCUUUUGUUAUUAUAAACUAGUAAAGUACUACACUACUAAGUCUCUCUAUAGUCUUUAAAAUGUAUCAUUAUGGUCCUUAAAAGUUAUACAAAAAGAAAUCCAUAGGGCGGAUAAUUAAUGUUGCCCUUUUAUUCUUAAAAACGCAUAUGUAGUUGUUACAUGCAGCGACACGGGCAGUGUUUGAUUUAAUACAUUCGAAUUUAACUGCUACAGUUGAAACUGUAUAAAGAGACUCAACUACAGCACUUGAAGCUAUACUCAAAUUUAGUGCAAUUCCAACUGCAGCAGCAGCUAGAAAAAGUAACUUUCAACAAAUUAUAUCCUUUCCUCACCAAAUCAUCUUUUAAACCAGAAAAUAUAUUUCAUUUUGUUUUCGGGACAAUCUCACAAUCCCAAAUUUAAAGUGAUAAAAUUUGUAAAUACAAUUUUCAACAAUAGACAAUCAAAUAAAUACUUUUGGGAUAUACAAAUAAAAUUGUUCUUAUAAAAUGAGAUAACAUUCAAACCAUUUAAAUUUUUGUGAACUCUAGAAUGAAGGGGGUAAGAUCUACACUUUCUUUAUAAAUCCUGCAGGCACGAAGACAGGAAAGACUAGAAAGGAUCGUUCUAGACUCGUGUUGGACCGGACAGUCUUUUUUGCAUAUUAAAAAUCAGUCGCUUUUAGGCCUCCAGUAUGUCGAUUUCUGGCCCGGCCCAUUAUGUUUACCAAUUAUCUGUUUUUCUGGUCAAAUUUUUAUAUUUUUAUUACUUCAUUUUAUUUUAUUUGUAAAUUCUAAAAUUUAUAAAUUGUUAGCGGGGCCUUUGGAUAGAAGAAGAUUGUAGGAUUUCGGUGUCUUUUUUAUUUUUACUUUUAAGUUACAGACUUAGUAUUUCUUAUCUCCAGAAUCGCGCGUCCAUCUCUUUCUAUGAAUUUUUCUCUAUCUGAUGGAGAAUUUGUUGAUGCAUAAGUGCGCCCCCAUCUCUACUUUUCUUCUUCAUCUCCUUUUUGUGUUUUUGCUUUUUUAACACAUUUUAUAUAUUUUUAUAUUUUAGUCCACUCCAAUCCCAUCUAUAAACUCUAAUGAAUCCCCGUUUCCUUUUGUCCACGUGGCAACAUUAGCUUAAUCCAAUUUUUGGUGGACCCUACCUGUCGUUCUAAGAGACUGUUAAUUAGUGGGUGGGGCCCACCCAACCUAAAAAUUUGUUCUAUUCUGUUUCCCAUUUAAUUUUCCAUUUUCUAAUUAACUUCGUCUUUUCCACCACCGUCUCCUUCGCUCGCCCCUCUAGGUGCCGCUCCGACUCCCGUUCCCUCUCUGGACGGAAUAUUGGCGGAGUUCAUGGCCGUCCCUUCUUCUGGUCGCACCGUUCCCGUUAGCGACGCUUCGUUUCGGCUUAUGCAUCACCUCCGGUCGCUUCGUUUCGUUGGCACCCUAGAUGCCGCUCCGACAACCGUUCCCUCUCUGGAUGGAAUCUUGGCCGAGUUCAUGGCCGUCCCUUCUUCCGGUCGCGCCGUUCCCGUUAGCGACGCUGCGUUUCGGCUUAUGCAUCCCUUCCGGUCACGAAAAUGGUGCGGAUUUAUUCUCCAUGGUUCCUUCUUGCUGCCUAUAUAAUAUCCCUCUGUAAAAAAAAUAUUUGCGUUUCCUGGUGAUUUUUUUCUUAUCUGAUUUGGUAGUGAUCACUCUGCGGGCUUUGAUUUCACCUCCAGGGAAGUGGAUCGAGCGGAAGCUUCUUGAUUACAGUCAAGAGGCUCGAUUACUGUCAAGAGGCUGAGUGGUUCNUGAUUAAAUUGCUUUAAGUCAUCUCUGUAUAGAAAUUUGUGCACAGUUAGAAUGUGUUGCUUUUUUUUUCGCAAACUUAUGAGGCAUUCUUUUGAUUUUUUUUAAUCAUUAUAUGUAUUCAAAUCUUGAUGAAGAUAAAAUUUUGCUACAACAAUAUUUGCCCGCCGCAUCGCGCGGGUUACUACACUAGUUAUCAUUUAUUUGCCUACGGAAACCACAGCUCGUAUCUCGAUUCUCUAAACUCUCUGUAGAAUAUAUAACUUCACAAUUAUUAUAUGACAUGCGAUCUUUUUAUCGAAAGUCCCUCACAGUACUCGUAUUAAUUUACUUCAGUUGUACUAAAACAUAAAUCAACUUCAUUCAAGUCCAUAUUGCAAUUAAUAAUUUUUAUUUCUAUAUUACAAAAUAAAUAAUAAAUGUUAGAAUCCGUUAAGAUACUUGACAAUGCAUUAAUUCCGGUGCCAUAAAUGUUUCCUCAUAGGAACCCUUCGUGAAUACCCACACGAAUGUAAGCAAUUUAUCUUUCUUCUUUUAAAAUAUACAUACGUAGGUAAGGCCGGCAAAUGAGCGAGCCGGCUCGCAUUCGACUCAAUAUUUGGCUCGCUCGAGCUCGACUCGAAAUUAAAUGAGCCAAGCUUGAAUAAAAAAAAAUGCUCGAAAUUUAUUUCAGCACAACAUUUCACCUACAGAUAGAUGGUCAGUCAGAGCGAAUCAUUCAGACUCUGGAGGACAUGCUGAGAAUAUGUGUCCUGAACUUUAGAGAAGGGUGGUAUUGACAUUUGAGACUGAUUGAGUUUGCAGUACAACAACAGCUAUCAAAUAAGUAUUCAGAUGGUUCCGUUUGAGGCAUUGUAUAGAUGCAGGUGUCGAUCCCCUUUACAUUGAAGUGAUGUGAGCGAAAGGAAGACUCUGAGACCUGAGAUUCUGAUAGAGAUAGAGGAGAAGGUAAAGAUUGUACGACGACACAUUUUGACAGCCCAGAGUCGACAGAGGAGCUACGCCGAUAUCAAGAGAUGAUACUUAGAGUUUCAGGUUGGAGAUCAUAUGUUUUUGAAAGUCUCGCCGUCCCGAGGGAUACGCAGAUUCGGAGUUCGUGGAAAGCUCAGUCCACAAUUUGUAGGCCCUUUUGAGGUAUUGGAGCGAGUCGGACCAGUAGCCUACAGGAUUGCUCUACCCCCACGACUGGCCGACGUUCAUGAUAUUUUUUACGUCUCGGCAUUGAGAAGAUACGUGUUUGACCCCUCACACGUGAUCGACUUCACUCCUCUGGAGCUUAGCGAGAAUUUGAGAUCUAAGGAGCGACCGGUGCGGAUUCUUGCUCAUGAGAUGAAGGAAUUGCGCAAUCGUGUCAUCCCUUAUGUAAAAGUGCGGUGGAGUCAUCACGAGGAGCGUGAGGCGAUAUGGGAGCCAGAGACGGUGAUGCAGGAGGCCUACUCUUACUUGUUUGAGACUUAGGAUUGAGGUAUGCGUUAAAUUUCGAGGACGAAACUUUUUGUAGUGAGGGAGAAUAUAGUAUCCCUGAUUUUUGGGUUUUUAUGAAUUUCAGCAUCUGAGGCUUGUCGACACAUCUGGAGAGUGUCGGGACAAGUCGGAGUCGUUUUGGCGCGAAAUAGAUGCAAAACGGACUCAGUGCGACGCGAGAGUAGAGUUUAACAUUGGAAUCUACAAAGAGCAGGUUUUCAGUGUUGAGUCCCGAUACUAGGUAGGAGAGCACCGGUAUCCUAGUGUAUUUCCAAACAGACUGCUCUUGGGUUGCGCCAAUUUGGUGCUGAGUACCGGUACAGCAUCGAGCUGGUACCGGUACCUGGUGUACGAGUGUGCGUGCUGAGAGGCCGAGUGCCGGUAACCAAAUCUGGUACUGGUACUCCAACUGAAUUUUGAGUUGGUGAGGGGUACAUUGGACUUUUGGUUUGAUCAUUAUCACCAAAGUUACCUCAGCCAGUUAUAAUUGCAAAGAGAGCUGAGAGGAGAGUUUUUAUUGUUGUGGCUCUGUCUCUCUAGUUUUUGAACGUGCUCGUGGUGGUGAUCGCAGCUCGAGUUCGGGUGAUUUCGAUGUCGAUCCAGAGGGUCCUUCGAGCGUGCGUGCGUCACGGUUGCGCCGUUGGAGGUCGGGCGAGCCAGUGAUUUUCGCUUCUUUCAACUUCUCGCCAUGGUUGGAUAGGCUUUCGAGGUGGGUUGAAGUUUACCGAAAUCGUCGGUUUUCCUCCUAAGCCGGAAUUGACAACAUGUAUUUUUGGCUUCGUAUAUCAUGUUUAAUAGCUCGAAUUCGUCGAUUGCAUGUUCUUUGAAAUCUGAAUUUGGAGCAUAGUUAGUGAUGUAGAUGACUUAUACAUAUUGGACUUGGAUUUGACUUAGGAGAAAACGGUUAGAUUCUACACUAUCACUUUCUAAAAAUUACCAUAUUUAGCUUUAAGAGCUGUAGUUUGUUUAUAUCGCCGCAGUUUGUAAGCGGUGGAUACCCAGAAUAGUAUAGAAUGAAUUUACGCUUGUGCUGGAAUGCCUAGUUUAUUUUACAAUAGAGUGUGGACAGUUUUGGACUGGCGGGUGCCGUCGCAGUUGACGGUGGACCCAUAUUACUGUUUUUGCAUUGGAUUAUGCCAAGAGCACGUGAGUUUUGGUUGUAGGACCUGGUAGACCCAUUUGUUUUGGUUAUAGCCUGUGAGAGCCUGAUUGAGCUCGGUAGAGACACGCUUGCAUACUCGGUUGGGUAGCGCCCACGAGUGCCACUCCGGAGUCGAGCUUAGUUCUUUUGCGUUGAUAUCGUAGUGUCCUGGUGGGACUUACUCUCCACCAACAGCCCAGCGUGGUGGUGGUUGGUGUAGCUUCGACAGGCGAGACGAGUGUGUUCAUAGUCCCUAGUGAGAUUGGGUCAGAGAUUGCAUCUUGCUUACAUUUACAGAUAGCUAGUGUUGGUUAGCGAUAGUCUAGUGACAUAUAGCUGUAGAGUUUUACCAGCUUCCUUUACUAUCUCUUUUCAUACUUUCUGUAGAUUUAGUGGGUGAGCCGUUGAGGUGAGUAGCGGUACCUAUUGAGAACUACUUCUUUUUGCAGUAGUUCUCACACCCAGCUGUUGACCCUUUUUGCAGAGCCUUCUUCUGCGGCUGCUGCUGUCACCGAUUCUGAUCGAGGAAAGUGAGUCGAGAGCUAGAUCCCUUCCUUGGUUACAGUGCUAGAGGAGUACCUCCCACAGGUAAUUUUGGAGUUUUUAUGUACAUAUGGUUGUUGUCUGGGUACUCGCUUAAGCGAGUGGUGCAGUAGACAUUUUGUAUUUACUGGAACCCUCAAGGUUUUAUAUAUAUAUGUUUCUUUUAGCAGCUCUUUACCUUAUGGUUGUACCUUGGUUUUGUUUACAGGUACAACUGUCGUUUCGUAUACAGAGAAAAUUUCUAUGUAUACGGUGGGUCUGUUGGCGUGCUCGGGGAAACGUGUAAUUCGGGGCGUGACAUAUAUGUAUAGAUAAUGUUCUAUACAAAUUAAACUAUUGUUCGUAUGAUGUUGAGAAUUUCAAGUAGCUCGUUUAGGGCUUGAGCUCGCUCGACUCGAAAUUAGGACUCGCUCGAGCUUGCCUCAAAUUAAUUUCAAACCAAGCUUGAGCUUAAAUUUAGGCUCGAAAUUAAUUUCAAGCUGAAUUUGAGCCGAGGUAAGCUCGCUCGAGCCCGGCUUGUCUCCACCCCUACACGUAGGGCUACAAUAAUAUGUUAUUAGUAUUGAACCCGCAAUUCACCGCGGCCAGUUUUAACAUUAAUAUAUUGAGACUCGUAUUACACUUUCUGUUGGUGAUUGGCUUUUAAUACCAACUCUGACGCCCUACUUUCGACAGGGAUCAACCAUUCUAGAACUAUUAUGGUUCUAAACUCGCUCAAUCCUCAAUCUCUUUGGCUUAUCCACCACUCAAAAUAUUAUACCUAGAUUAAAAUGUUUAAUUCUAGAAUAUCUUAUAUAUAGGAUUGUUUCAAAACUUGAGAGUGUCACAAAAAAAAAAAUAAAGAACUAUUAUUAUAUGUUUUCCUCGAGGACUGUAAAAAAUAUAUCAUAACCGAUUUAUUUUAAUAUACGAAAUGCAAUACUAUAAAAAAAAAUAAAUAUUGUAUUUUUUUUUUAUCGUACUUUCUUACCGCACAUUACGAAAUCUUUCUGAAAUCUCAACCAGAGAAUUAGUUAGUUGUUUAAUAUGUAGACUUGGCAUUCCUCAAAAAUUAAACUUGAAAGAGCCAUUUCAAGCCGAAAUAAAAGGCGAUGGGAUCUUCGUACUUUUUCCACCCACAUUUUAUGAAAGGAUAAUAAUAAUAAUAAUAAUAAUAAAAUAGAUGGCUACAUCAGGAUCCACAAUUAAAAUCAGGAAAUCUCUUGAGUCUAAGUCCACGCCCCACUCUAGCUGCUACUACUUUCCAAACCCUACAUCCAGCUCACCUCCACCCAUGCAGCCGCGAAUCCGCCCCUUCGACGAGAAACUAUACCCUGCACCCAGUAUAUAUAUGCAUAUGCAUGCACUCUAUAUAUAUAUAGUCUAUACACUAUUAUUAUAUUUUUCAUAUUUGAUGAUUGGAAAAUACCAUUCCUAUACUUAUAUAUAGAUAUAAAUUUUAUAUCCUUCGCAUUCUAAAACUUAUAAAAGUUCUUUUAGAUUUAGUUAAAAAAAAAAGAAGAUAAACUUCAAAUACCACCCCUGUGAUUGCACUUUCUCACUUUAGUACUCUAUGAUUUAAAGUGUAUCAAUUUAGUACCAUGUGAUUUUAUUUUUCUUUUUUUUUUCAUCAGCUUCUCUAUUAAUACUUUAUUAAAUUAAAUAUAAAAAACUUCAGAUAUCCUAUCUUGGUUAAUCAAAUAUUCACUUUAGUAUCAUUUAAUUUUUAAACUUUGACACUGAUUAAAAAAAAAUUAGUAGAAUUGAUAAUAAUAAUAAUAAAAAAAAACCACAGGGCACUAAAUUGAUACACUUUAAACCACAAGAUACUAAAAUGAGAAAAUGCGAAACCACAUGAAUGAUAUUUGAAGUUUUUUCUAAAAAGAUUGAUAAGAGUAGAAAGAGAAGAUGGGUCUUUAGAUGGAUCGGGAAUAUAUUUUAUACCUACUUUAUUGUAAGUGCACAGAUAGUGUUGCUCUUGAUGAUAUAGUUCGAUAAAUUCAUAUACAAUAUCUAAACAGUUUAUGUGUAUAUAAUAUUAAAACUUAUUAAUUAGAUAUCCCGAACAUUGAUAAUUAAGAAAAAAUAUUAUUAUUAUU